AUUGAACGCUGGCGGCAUGCUUUACACAUGCAAGUCGAACGGUAACAGGCCGCAAGGUGCUGACGAGUGGCGAACGGGUGAGUAAUGCAUCGGAACGCGCCCAGUCGUGGGGGAUAACGCAGCGAAAGCUGCGCUAAUACCGCAUACGAUCUAUGGAUGAAAGCGGGGGACCGUAAGGCCUCGCGCGAUUGGAGCGGCCGAUGUCAGAUUAGGUAGUUGGUGGGGUAAAGGCUCACCAAGCCAACGAUCUGUAGCUGGUCUGAGAGGACGACCAGCCACACCGGGACUGAGACACGGCCCAGACUCCUACGGGAGGCAGCAGUGGGGAAUUUUGGACAAUGGGCGCAAGCCUGAUCCAGCAAUGCCGCGUGCAGGAAGAAGGCCUUCGGGUUGUAAACUGCUUUUGUACGGAACGAAGCGGUCCUGGUUAAUACCUGGGGCUAAUGACGGUACCGUAAGAAUAAGCACCGGCUAACUACGUGCCAGCCGCCGCAGUAAUAC
rnacentral:rRNA from 1 species